rnacentral:rRNA from 1 species
GAUGAACGCUGGCGGCGUGCCUAAUACAUGCAAGUCGAGCGAACAGAUGAGGAGCUUGCUCCUCUGACGUUAGCGGCGGACGGGUGAGUAACACGUGGAUAACCUACCUAUAAGACUGGGAUAUCUUCGGGAAACCGGAGCUAAUACCGGAUAAUAUAUUGAACCGCAUGGUUCAAUAGUGAAAGACGGUUUUGCUGUCACUUAUAGAUGGAUCCGCGCCGCAUUAGCUAGUUGGUAAGGUAACGGCUUACCAAGGCAACGAUGCGUAGCCGACCUGAGAGGGUGAUCGGCCACACUGGAACUGAGACACGGUCCAGACUCCUACGGGAGGCAGCAGUAGGGAAUCUUCCGCAAUGGGCGAAAGCCUGACGGAGCAACGCCGCGUGAGUGAUGAAGGUCUUAGGAUCGUAAAACUCUGUUAUUAGGGAAGAACAAAUGUGUAAGUAACUAUGCACGUCUUGACGGUACCUAAUCAGAAAGCCACGGCUAACUACGUG